GCUUGCAGGCCUUGAAUUUUGAGAGUGUGGGGAAAGCAGUCAAGCCCGCGCGGAGCGAUUGUGAGGGGCUCUGCUGGAAUUUGGCAGCGCGGAGGCUUGGAGAGAAGCCCCAUGCUGGCUCCCAUUCAGCCGGCCCGUUUUCCUCGAGCUUUGGAAGUUUCACUCAGCCGUGCACUCAAUGGCUUCACAAAGCUGAUUACAAGCUUCAGCGCAUUCCUGAAGGAGCCAAAAGCGACGCAGGUGCAAACGAGCCGAGGGAGCCCCUUAUCCCGGUGACAGAAUGGGACAAGCUGGGAAAGGCUUAGACCACACAAGUCCAAGGCUCACCAGGCCGCAGAAAGCCUGCCUUGGGAACCGGGGGUCAUUAUCCGCCCUAUUCAGCGGG
rnacentral:lncRNA from 1 species